UCCGGAAGUGGAAGCUGCGAGAGGCAGAAGAGGGGGUCUCAGGUGGGGAGUGGAGAGAGCCCUUCCCUGUCAUGCCUGCCUGCCUGCCUAUGACCCCAACCCCAGCCCAGGGGCCCCCGUGACCUUCAGCGCCAGGUGCCAAAGGCCUCCCACCAGGAGGGAAGGACUGAGAGCAAACUACAGUGUCCUCUGAUCUUGAACUUGGGCUCCUGGCUCUGCCCUAACUACACCUUCCUACUUGUGACCUUCCAAAUGUGCUGUCCCUGGCUCCUCCCUACUCAGAAUGGGGUGGGGGACAGCAGGCUCUGGCUCCUGAAGCCCAACCUUCCUUCCAGAACGUGUUCUAAGAUAUAAAGGUGUGUCUCAGGAUUCAAAGACUGCUCUUCUGCAGACCGGCAGCAGGGGCUGCCUACGCAGUGAGGAUAGCCUGACCCAGGGCUUAGAGAGCAGUGGAGAUCUGUUUUAAAUGUUUACAAGUUCUGGGUUCAAUUACAACAGGCGGCUGGGCUUGCUGCUUUGCAGCUCAAUGAAUUUUACAAAUUAAUUUCAUUAUUUUUAGUCAAAGAGAAUAAACAAAUGCAGUACUGUGCCUUGGAAAGGCCUUCACCUAGGGUCCCUGUGUGGGUCAGAGCUGGUCUCUCCAGCUGACUCUGCAGGGAGCACCUGUGGGAGGGUUGACGGCUGCACUGGGCUGGGUACAGAUGCAGCUGUUGCUCACGGAGGAGCCUGGGUGGGCUCAGGGGACCUGGCUGGGGGCUGAGCCGGUGGAAGGUUGGGGGAGCCUGUCUUUUUCCAGGCAGCAUCUUCUGAGAAGCCAGCGCAGCUCCUGAGGUCUGGUCAGAACUGCACAUGGGUCCUGCCUGGAAGGUGGUUAGAGGGUGCUGAAAAGCGCGCCGCACUCCUCCACCACGCAGUGGAAGUGGGCCUUGUGAAGGAAAUCACACUGGGCGUCGCAGAAGUCCUUGGUACCAAACCUGGCAGAGGAGCCGGCGGCUUAGAGGAGACCCUGGGGCUCUGGUGAGGCCUGGGUGGGAGGUGGGGCUGGACACUGGCCACCAGGACGGGUGGGCAUGGCUCUUCCCUCUCCCUUGCUCGCCCCGCAAGCCCCUCACCUGCGAAGGUACACCUUCCAGGGCUCUGAUAGCUUCUCCUGAACCAAUGCCUUCACGGCCUUGCCCAGGAAGGGCGAGGACUCCCCGGCGGGGCUCCCCUCCGCUUCCGUCUUGAUGUUCAACAGGCUGCCAAGGUUGGGGUUGCCCUGAGACAUCUGUGAGGAGGACAGGCCCAUGCUUCAGGCUAAGGAACCUCUGGACACUGACCUGACUGCCCUGGGAGCAGCAGCAGCUCUUGGCUGCUCAGACCUCUCACAACUGACCAGAGCAUCACGGCGCUGGCAGCCAGGAGAGGAGGCCCGACCCCACGCGGCUUUGGCUACAGAAGAGCCCUCUCUGAAUGGAUGCUGCCAUGGGCAGGCUGCAGCACCUCCCUGGCCCUGUGGAGCUGCCCAGGCUCCUCGACACAGACCCUGUGCUCCUAGGGAGCCAUCACUCAAUCUGAGGCCGAGACUCAGGGCACACACUCCGGCCCAGCUUUCCCCAGACUUCGAGGCUCCCUGGUUAUUUUCCUGCCAGGUUUUCAAAAGAAGUGCAGGAGGAGGAGGGAUGGGGGGAACCCCCACGAAUUCCUUGAGAACAAGAGAAGGCACACAAAGGAGGAGCAGGGAGGGAGGGAGGCUCACAGGGUGAGAUCCAGACAGGCUCACUGCUGCAGGGAGAGGGGGGAACUGGGCGGGGGAGCCCGCGUCAAGGCUCGACCCACGCUGGGUGUCGGGUGUCAGGGCUCUGACAAGAAGGAACAAGGGGGUGCAGGGGGCAGUGACCCAAGAACGGAAAAGGAGAGCAAGAGAGCAAGCAGGGGAGGCAGAGAAGGCGGAGGGCAGGGCUCGGGGCAGAGGCCAGCGGGAGGCUCCUACCCGUCAAGGGCCCAGCCAGACCCCCACCCGGCGAGGUCCGGUCCAGGCCCAGCUCCCUCCUCAACAGUCACUCGUGUACAGUAACCAAAUUAAUCUUGCUGUAGUCAAAUUUAUCAUGUGAAGGGGGAAAAUAUAUUUGAGAUGAUGUAUAAUUUACAAAGACCCUGCAUUAUUUAAAAUAAAUAUUCUGGAGCGAC